AGGUGGUGCUGACCAGCCUGAAGAAGCUGGAUCUGGACAGAUUGCAGGGAUCGUCAGUGCCAUCGGAGUCGCUCUUUUAGGAGCAGCUUCCAGUUACUUUGCUUACCAGAAGAAGAAACUGUGUUUCAAGCUGCAGGGAGGUCAGGAUCCAGAGAGUGGUAAAGACCAGCAUGGUACUCAGUCUGACCCUCAAGUUCUCAGCAACCUGCUCAAGACGUCUUAGAGACACACUGCACUCGCACAACACAAGUCAGUGGCCUGUUAUACACAACUCAUCUUUAUCAACCUUUCAAUAAACUGUGUGUUUUGUCUUUGGUCGUCAGUCUGAGACUCUCUGUGUCUCAGAGAUGAAGCUGCAGCCUAACAUGGAUACAACUAAUGCUUAACUUGAAAAAUGUAAAAUACAAAUCAGUCCUGUUUGAUUUCUUCUUCUGUUCAUAUUUAACAGAACUUCAAUCCUAGUUGUCAGAACAGCUGAGUAAUGAUUUAAACAAAUACUACUCUACACAUGAAUCUGACUCUUACACUAUAGUAACUACGUAUAAGUGUAUUAAGUUUUACAUAGUUGCUGCA